GGUUUCUUCCACAUCAGCAUCGCCACGGCCACGCCCAGCUUCUGCUUACUCCUCUUGGUAAACAGUGAUGUGUACACUUGAUAGAACUGCGUUGUCCUUGUGCUGACAUCAUGUCUGUGUCCCUAUAUCUCCACCUCCACCCCCACCCCCAUGCUGGCUGUUAAGGUUGUUUCAGAUCUGAAGCUCUGCGAAGCCGAACAAAAUCCAUCUGUCUUUGCUGCAGCCACACACGCUCCUCUAAGAACUCUUACGUCAUGCAGGAUGGGGGAGAAUCCUGCCGAGUCCAGUUGUUUGCUUGAAAUCUGCAUCCCGGGCAGCUGGAGGGUGGCUACUCACAGGUGCUCUGGUCUAACCUCGAAGAUGCUCCAACUGGGCUUGCACCUUCCUAAUCAACAGCUCCUGGGCAG
rnacentral:lncRNA from 1 species